ACAACUCUAAAUGCGUCAUUGUGUUGCGAUUGCAUCCAACAUGAUCAUCUAUAAGACACUAGUGGGCGCCUUGUGGUAAGCAUGCGGCGCAAAAAGGGAUGAACCUAGCAGUGGGGUAAGGUGCCUAAAGGAAAACAAAGAGAAAAAGCGUUUGGCAGAUUAGGACAGUGGGGCGGUGGCCAUGGAGGUCGGCAUCCGCUAAGAAACGUGUUACAACGUACCCACCGAAUCUGCGAAUGCUGAAAAUGGAUGGCGCUUAUUUCCAUACCGAGCCCCACAUGGUACAGCCACGUAGGCCGGCACGUGUGCAUCUGAGAAGACCCGCCGUGAGGUGUGUUGGAGAUGUUCACGGAGCAGAUCUUGGAAGUAGUAGCAUCAUUUGUAUGUGCCAAUGGAGGCGGGUUUGUCCUUUUAAUAGAAGGAAGUGAUACGAGCCUAGUAAAAGGGAAUAUAGUAGAUAUUCUAUAUAGAUGUACCUAUGUGGCGACACGACAGCGACCCCAACGACGUGUGCCGGUGAGAAUUUUCCGGGACACCCAGAUCUUAUGAGCGUCACGCUGAGACUAAGAACGAGUUGGGCGGUGAAAAUGAAGGAACAUCCUCGUACCGAACCGCAACAGGACUCCUAGGUGAGAAGCCUAAGGCAUAAUUGUAAUGUGAGCAAGGGAAAUCGGCAAAAUGGAUGAAAAACCUCGGGAUAAUCAUUGGCUCUAGCAUGCUAGAACUGGGCUUACAAGGGGAAUCUGACUGUUUAAUAAAAACAUAGCUUUGUGUGUACGCAAAGUGAAUUCUGCCCAGUGCUUGGGACGUUAAGGAAGUAAUUUUAAGUACGCACCUGUAAACGGCGGGAGUAACUAUGACUCUCUUAAGGUAGCCAAAUGCCUCGUCGCCUAAUUAGCGACGCGCAUGAAUGGAGCAACGAGAUUCCCACUGUCCCUGCUCACAGAUUUGCGAACCUACAGCCAAUGGAACGGCCUUGGGACAUGCCAGCGGGGAAAAAAGACCCUGGUUGAGCUUGACUCUAGCCAACCACAGGCCUCUGUGACUAUAUUCGUACCGAGGUGGGAAAAAAUGUGUGGAAACACUGACUUAGUCGGCGGGGGGCACUCCCAAAACCUUGGUUGGGGAAUUUGGCUGGGGGCCGGCAUAACUACUAAAAAAAUAACGGUAAACAUUCCAAAGGGUAAACUUCCCAAGGGGGAAGGAAAACCCCUUCCCAAGAGUAAAAAGGGC
rnacentral:ncRNA from 1 species